GGGCCGUCAGGCCCAUCAUCCUUAUCAAUGUCCGAACCCUCACCCGAUCAUGCAUCCUCCUCACCCACGGCAUUCACAUCAUCAUGUAUACGUUUAGUAUAGAAAUACUCUUCUACGGGACCUCCGUCUUGAUCAGGCUGCAUGUGGAGCAAGGGCACAUGUUCUUUGGUGGCGGAGUUUUCCGCAGUUUCUUUCUGUGCCUUCGCUACUAUUUCUGUCUUCUUAAGGGCAGGUUUUGUUUUCAAUGGCUUCUGGGCUACGGGCAAGUAAUUGUUGAUGCCGCUAUAUAUGACAGCACAACGACGGCCCAGUAUACUUGAAUAACAUUUCUUUAUACUGGAGGACAGCACUGGGGUAUGGAUUACAGAGAAGGAACGGUUCGGGGAGUACGUUUUGAACCUUCGUUCAUCGUUACACCUAAUAAGCUUGCAGCUUUUACAGCAUCAGAACGUUUUGGAGCUGCUGAAAAAGUACCAAACAAAAAUGCAAAUUGUUGCGAUUUUGACGGGGAGGGUUUACGUUCCCCGUGUGAGGCCUUGCGCCGUUCGUUUUGGGGUCCCCGUUCCAUGACUCUCACGUGCACGGGGACCUCGCUAUAGCUCGGAUUACCGGUGGAUUGGCGCGGAUUAAAAAUAUACCUUAAUCCAUGACUUUUAAUCCAAGUGGAAAC
rnacentral:lncRNA from 1 species